GCCUGGGUGGCGGAAUGGUAUACGCGCUCGACUUAAAAUUGAGUGGCCGCAAGGCCGUGUGGGUUCGAGUCCCACCCCAGGCA
rnacentral:tRNA from 1 species